rnacentral:rRNA from 1 species
AUUGAACGCUGGCGGCAUGCCUAACACAUGCAAGUCGAACGAGUGGCGGACGGGUGAGUAAUGUCUGGGAAACUGCCUGAUGGAGGGGGAUAACUACUGGAACCGGUAGCUCAUACCGCAUACCAUCGGAUGUGCCCCGAUGGGAUUUGCUAGUAGGUGGGGUAAAGGCUCACCUAGGCGACGAUCCCUAGCUGGUCUGUGAGGAUGACCAGCCACACUGGAACUGAGACACGGCCCAGACUCCUACGGGAGGCAGCAGUGGGGAAUUUUGCACAAUGGGGGCAAGCCUGAUGCAGCCAGGCCGCGUGUAUGAAGAAGGCCUUCGGGUUGUAAAGUACUUUCAUUGGGGAGGCGUUACCUAAAGAAUAAGCACCGGCUAACUCCGUGCCAGCAGCCGCGGUAAUAC